rnacentral:rRNA from 1 species
UACGUAGGGUGCGAGCGUUAAUCGGAAUUACUGGGCGUAAAGCGCACGUAGGCGGAUCGAUCAGUCAGGGGUGAAAUCCCAGAGCUCAACUCUGGAACUGCCUUUGAUACUGUCGGUCUAGAGUAUGGAAGAGGUGAGUGGAAUUCCGAGUGUAGAGGUGAAAUUCGUAGAUAUUCGGAGGAACACCAGUGGCGAAGGCGGCUCACUGGUCCAUUACUGACGCUGAGGUGCGAAAGCGUGGGGAGCAAACAGGG